AUCAAUUGGCUUUAAGUUCAUAGUUGUCUUAUGAACAUCACCAUUCUUGGCACUUGAUUGGGAUUUUACUUUGCAAUUUUCUGGUUGUUCUCAAUUUUUAUUUGUUUAAUUCUAAAUUUACCUGGCGUGACUAUAUAUCCAGGUAUACUCUUAUCAGAUCUAGAUUCCAAGGGAUAUUUUGACUUAUUAAUUAAGGUAUGCUAUCAAGGCGUGACUAUACUUCAUGUUUCUUUCCUUUUAUUGGAACUGUAUGUUGGUGUGUCCAGAAGGGAAAAUGAGCUAGCAUUUUGCAAGCUUAAAACCAUGAGAUGCAGUUGAAGUGAAGGGGUAACCUAUAUUUACCAGUGGCAAUGAUAGGUAGAGGUUACACUCUGAGUUGUCUUAUAAUGAGGUGUAUCUUUUCUUGCAGACCCAUUGAAAAGCUGAGAUAUGUUCCCAACAUGAAGAAGCAUAUUAGCAUGAUUGCAGGUGGUUCUUGUAUUACUUCAAUUCUUCAGGUCAUUGACGCUAUACUUCAAAAUCUUGUUGAGACAACCAAGGGCCAGCGAUAAGUGUCAGAAGGAGAAGAGAAAGCAUGCACUUAUGCAGCAUUUUCAAAGGAGCAAGCUAGUGCGCUAGUGUUGCCCACUGCCACAUUUAUCAAUUCGUCUUGAGAAAUGCAUUAGUUUCAUCAUCAACUUUUGAUGUUCAAGUAGAUAGGGCAUGUACUAGGAUGCUUUUCUUAUUUUAAUGUUGGCUUGGAUGGUUGGGAAAUGCUCUCUUUUUACAUUUGACGUUUAAAGUAUGAGUUGGAUUACUCAUUUGAUGGUUU